rnacentral:lncRNA from 1 species
ACACCUGCGGCAGUCACCGUUUGUUUUAUAUGAAGAGGACAGGAUGCAGGCAGCUUUGUGUGUGCUGUUUGCAGCUCUGUGUGCGAACAGGGUCUCCUCAUCUCCGCUGAAGUCUGUCCAUGCCGGGGAAAAGCUGGCCUCCAUGGAUGACAUGAACAUCCUGAUGUACGGUGUGCUGCAGUUCACUGAAACCCUGCACCAUAUGCACCAGAGCACAGAGGCCAGGCUGGCCCGCAUCAUGAAAGCCAUCAGCCGAACUGAGAGUGAGGUGAAUAGACUGGGGCACGACACGGAGGAGGCUGCUAAAAAUGAGCAACAGAUUAAAGAGAAACUCCAGCUCAUUCAGGAUCAGAUGAAAGCGCUGGAGAUUCAAGUCCAUGAGAACAGAGAUACAGUCACCAGGGUGGAGCUGGAAGAGGCACAGCUAAAGAAAAAACUAACCAGCCUGGAGGAAAACCUAAACAGCUCUGUCCCAGACACGAUCAAGGGCACACCACUUAAAAACAUCUCUAACCUGAAGGACCUGAUGAAGUGGACACAAGAACAGAAACUGAAAUUGGAGAAUCAAAACCAGCUGCUGGCUGAUUUACAGAAACAGAAUAUGGUGUAACCACUAAAAUCACCUACAAGCAGGAAGUGCAAUCAACACUCAUCAACACUCCAUUCACGGCACUGCAAAUGGAUCUCACUUACUUCAUGAUCAUAAAUAUGACACAGUUGUCCACUUUGCCAUGCAUUUUAUGCUCACAUUGGGCUUCAAUUAUGAAACAUAAGGAGAGUGAAUUUCUGUGUAAAACAUUUGCUGCAUGAAAACCCCAUUACAAACAUUUAGCUGAUUUUUUUGUAGUGAAUAAUGUGUUUAUAAUAGCACAAAACAUAAUUAUCAUAAUAUAUGUAUGUAACUAAUAACUUAAUACUUUUUAACUUAUAACUGAAGGAAAAAGUGGUGUGUCUUCUCUUUCUGUUUUAAAACAAUUUUUUAAAGUUUUAUUUACUUUCUACAUAAAUGUUACUGGCCUUUCUAUGUACGAUAAAUCAGUACUUACAUAGUUUUAAAUAAAUGAAAUGUUCUUUUCAUAAGUGUUUAUAACCUUCUCCACGGAAGAAACAAUGCCAACGUAACCAUGGCUGUAUGGGUGGGCAAAUAUGAAACUAACCAAUAAUUUUGGCUAAAUUAAAGUAACAAUCAUCCACAAAUGGAAAAAAAAAGUGAUUUAUACCAUCUAACACAAAAGCAGAUGUUUUCCAUACAAGGAAAUUGGAUGUUGAUUUGAUACUUCAAGAGUUUGAGGUCAGCAAGAUUUUUUACUGUUUUUGAAAUUGCAAUUUAAAAUAAAUGUUUUCCAUUGUAAUAUAUUUUAAAUGUAAUUUAUUUCUGUGAUGUUAAUUGAAGACGACCAAUGAAUAACAGCUUAAAUUUUAGUGUUUUCCUCACACAAGACAAUCCUAUGAAUUCAGACGACUCGGAAUGUAGUUUUAUGAUACCUUUAGAUAUAUUAGCAUCUCUUAGUCAUGAAUGUGUGUGGGCUGACCUGUAGGUAGUGUGUGGGGUGUAGACGUAGCGCGCGGGAAACUCCAGCACCUCUUUUGUGGGGCGCACACGUGGGUCAGGGUAAGGCUUCACAUGAAGCAGCUCUGGAGAAAGACAGUAGUGAGGGGCCUCUGGAGCCGGGGAGAUAUCUAUCUUCAACUGAGCUAGACAGAAAGAGACCGACAGAGUGUGAUAAAAAGCUUAAAUAAUUGAACCUAUGUGGUAAAAAUAAGUGCGGACAGAUACCAGUCACAGGUCUGAGUCGACGCAGGACAGACGACGGCCUCCUCAUGUCUGCCAGGAACUUAUAUAAGUCUUCAUCACUCAAUCUGUCCCCCUCCUGCAGCAGUACAGAAACUCUCAGCAUUCGUUCAGUGGCUAAAUAAUAUAUUGUGCUAAUACACUACCGUCAGAAAUGUGCAUGAAUAGAGAACUGACCUGUUUGAAGAAAUUGGUGACAGUGAGAGUCGCUGGACGAAAGUUAGUGAAGUUGCACAUGUCCUCUCCUACACUCAUCCUCUCAAAUCCUUUCUUCUUCCUCUCAUUCCACGUCCCCUUACGCUCUGUAAGGAAUGAGAAAAUGCUGUUUAGUGUCAUGCAACUAGGGCUGGAUGACAUAUAGAAUAUUUAUAUUCAACAUUACUUUGUUAGCUAUACAAAAUUAACCAACAUUGUGAAUAUAGGAUCCAGUGGAUCCUCUGCAGUGAAUGGGUGCCGUCAGAAUGAGGGUCCAAACAACUGAUAAAAACAUCACAAUAAGUAAUUCACACGACUCCAGUCCAUCAAUUAAUGUCUUGUGAAGUGAAAAGCUGCAUGUUUGUAAUAAACAAAUUCAU